CUCCCCACCGACGCAGCAUCCCCUCCUCCCCUCCUCUCCCUGCCCCGUCGCCGCCUCCUCCAAUCCUCAACGCCACGAGUCCUCCCCUCCUCUCCCCGCCCCACCGCAGCCUCCUCCCCUCCUCCCUCUCUCCGCAGCGGCGCGGCACGGAGCGCAAACGCGCGCGGGGACGCGGCUUGGCGGCGUGGCGUGGGGACGCGGCGCGGAGCGGACCGCGAGCGCACGUGGGGACCCAGCAGGGCGGCGCUGUGAGGAUGAGGCGGCGGCUCCCCUACAGAUUUGGCGCUGGCAACAGUUCCCCCUCCCAUGCCGAUGGCAGCAGAUCCCCUCCCCACCUAGCGGCGAUGGAUCCCCAUCCCCACUAGCGGUGAAGUGCAACAGCGAAGCGGCCGUGGCUCGCAGCAACCGCAGGUAGAGCUCAUGCCUAGCUUGUUUGUCCUUCACAGAUGCCCCUGGUGGAAGGGGUGCUUGGCGGAGCUGCUGCGCUGCACCGGGCAUCACUGGAAGCAGCAGCGUAGAAAUCGCCCGGGGAUUGCUCUAUGGUGGGUUGGUCGUCGGCUGUAGCGCCACGCCGGCGACCGUGCCUUCAGCUGUGCAUUGGCAUCUUCUCCCUCUGCAAGCAGCAGCGAAUCGUUGUCUGUGUGCACUACCAGCAGGACGAUGGCCGCCAUGGCCUCCCCAGAGGUACAGGAAUACAAAGAGUUGGCAGAGUGGUCUCAAUCAAUCAAUUCUAUAGUGUCUAAGUCAUGCAGGUGAAUAUAAUUUACGUCUGGGUAUCAUAAAAGAGCUACAUCCUGAUAUGGUGGCAACACAUGUAAGCAGCCCUCAGGUUUUUGAAGGUCAUCCAUUUAUUGUUGAAGCUGUGAUAAGCAUUGUUGUGGGUUUUGGUGAUGUCUUUCGCUGCACAAUGGGGCUCACUGAUCGGUUUUGCAAGAACCAUUUGCUUAAUUUGCUUUGCAUAUUCACUGAGGCUUAAGCCAAAUUUACUCAACUAUUUGAAAAUUCAUCAGAGAAAUUAGGCUGAGAAGCCACCUGUUUCUUAAAAAAAACGCUACUCUUGAUUCUAAGUUGCUUUACUGAACUGGCAUCUAGCCUGUGGUUGCUUUUGUUACUGGCCCUUAAUGUGCUGCAGCCUGAUUACUUUGGAUAUGAGAUUAUUCUUGUUUGCUAUGGCACUCAGUCAGACUUGAGCUAUCUUUAUAAUUACAUUUUACUUACUGUCUUUUGACAUCUUUGCACAAAUAUAGGAAUGAACAAAAAUUUAACCAUCCUAGACAUGCUUAAGAGUUAAUAGUCAGUCAGCAAUGCUUAGCAAUUGGAAACCCUUUUAGUUUUGACCAUACUCUAACCGUUGGUAUCAUCAGUGGUUUAAAUCAAGAUAUUUUCAGUGGAGCUGGGGUGAAAAUUGGCGGUGGAAUUAAAACAGAUGCAGCUAUUAACCCUGUGGUGGUCCUUUGCUUGGCUCAAAGGGGCAUAUAAUUGGUGUUAACACAACAAUUUUAACACAGACAGGUACUUCUGUUGACAAGUCCCUGAAUGCACCUAGUAGCAACCCUUGCGUGGCUCCUUCAGCAAAAGGUCACCGGUAAUUAAGACUGCAUUUGUUCAAUAGAUUAACACUGCACUUGUAAUGUAAACAGUGGAAAACGCAUGUGAAUUUGUGAUGUAAAGAAUGGAUAAAACAUAUGUAUAUGUGAUGUAAGGGUAUAUUUUGUCCC